UACAGAGGUCCCAAGCGUUGUUCGGAUUUACUGGGCGUAAAGGGUGCGUAGGCGGUUGGGUAAGUCUGACGUGAAAUCUCCGGGCCUAACCCAGAAACUGCGUUGGAUACUACCUGACUAGAGGAAUGGAGGGGAGACUGGAAUACUUGGUGUAGCAGUGAAAUGCGUAGAUAUCAAGUGGAACACCAGUGGCGAAGGCGAGUCUCUGGACAUUUCCUGACGCUGAGGCACGAAAGCCAGGGGAGCAAACGGG
rnacentral:rRNA from 1 species